UACAGAGGGUGCGAGCGUUUAAUCGGAAUUACUGGGCGUAAAGCGCGCGUAGGCGGCUUUGCAAGUCGGGUGUGAAAUCCCCAGGCUUAACCUGGGAACUGCAUUCGAGACUGCAUUGCUAGAGUAUGGGAGAGGGAAGUGGAAUUUCCGGUGUAGCGGUGAAAUGCGUAGAUAUCAAGUGGAACACCAGUGGCGAAGGCGAGUCUCUGGACAUUUCCUGACGCUGAGGCACGAAAGCCAGGGGAGCAAACGGG
rnacentral:rRNA from 1 species